GGGGAUUCUGCCGUUCCGUUGCGCACAGCCGCACUGCUUUAUACCGCAUCGCCACAAAACCACCGACUGAACCGGCUGGUCGAAAUCACUUAGGCGCUGUAUUUUUUCCCGCAUCCCCACUUCUCGUUUUUCCUAAGCUUCAGAAAAAAAACCCCCAUCAGCGCACUCAAGGCAGAGCGAGAGCAGGAGAAGAGGGAGACGAAAAUAAGAAAAAGCAAAACAACACCAAAAAAAAAAAACCCAAAAACUGUCAUCUCUGCAGAACUCAACCGCACAGUUUCCAGCAUGAGCGAGCCUACGCCCACAGGAAACCCAGACAGCAGCCAAACACCCGCCUCAGACACCAAAGGAAAGGCGCCUGCCACAGCAGGGAAGCCGGAGCAGGAGGAGGAGAUCGAUAUUGAUCUGGAGGCACCUGAGACGGAGAAAGCAGCUCUUGCCAUUCAAAACCAGUUCAGGCGUUUCCAGAAGAAAAAGAAGUAGAUCUUUAAUCCAACAACUGUAAUAAAUGAAACAAAUAUUAACAGGAAUAAGACAUAGAAAGAAAGUGGUGGUAGAAAUUUAUUUUUAAAAAAAAGCACAUAGUCAGCAGAAAAACAGCAAGAUAUCUUCUGCAUGUUAAGGAGAGAUUAUUGGGCAAAGGGAAACAAAUAUCAACAGGAAGUGGAAUUAAUAAUCUAGCAUGAAAGUAGUCAGUCAGCUAUUUGCUUUCCCUGAAAACGUUAAAUGCAUAAAUAACAAUUACACAGUGAAUGGCACAUUUUGACCUCAAAAUACAUAGAAUGAUCCAGAAUAAAAAAAUAUUCCUGUAUCUCUAAAUAGCCAUAUACAGAAGCCCCCCCAGUAGAAAAUGAAUACAGAAGCUCCCCCUGUAUGUCUAAAACUUAAACACUGUGCUUAAAUGUGCCCAAAUUCAGUGUAUAGACCAACUGAAGUCACUGCACUGAAAAGAAAGCCAUUUGACAAACAAAAUUAUUUUCUCCAUCCACAGAGCAAGCACAUGAUUCAAAAGAGCACAUGUCUCGUUCAAAAGAGCACAUUAGCAUUUUUCCAGCUCCCACUUCUAGACUUCCUUUUUAUUUCUUUCCUGCUCUACCCUGUGGCAUUGAUGACUUGGGAACUUAGAGACAGUCACAGAUUUUUUUGGUUUUAUAGCAGUGAGCAUGUGUGUAUCGUGUUUCCAGGUAAAGCUAUAGCUAUCCCUGAGGUUGCACUAUGCAGGCACACCAUAGAGAAACAGGCGGGUUGGAGGGAUAUUCACUGCAUCCCCAUGGUAUGCUGUUUCCAUGCCAACCUGAAUUAUUGAUACACCUUUGCUUGCACAACAGCGUGCCCAAACUGAUCAAAAAGCUUGUUGAGUUGAGAAGGAAAUAGGCAGUAAGACAACCGUGGUGGGAAAUUAGACAAAUUAAAUUAGUCCCAUUAGAACCCAUCAGUACUGAGACCUUAAUACAAUAGACCUUGACUAAGUAACUCCAUUUAGUAACUCCAUGAGGAAUAAAUAAAACCAUAUGCUUCAUUUGAGGUUCAAGUUCCACACACAAUCACAAAUGAAUAGCACCAAAUUUAAACCUUAUUUCCUAAUAGUUUAGAUCCCAACAUAGGGCCACUAAAUAGAGACUAAGGUAUAGAAUUAGGACAGAGAGGAAAUGGAGAGCAGACUAAUUGGAGCUGAACAUUAUGCCCAAUUUAAACUGACUCCUUGAGUCAUGGGCUAGUUUUGCUAAUUCUAAACAUAUUCUUGUCAUAUUUACCACAGACACGCACAACCACACUUUUUGUUGGCACAAAAAAGUCUUUAAAGUAUAUAAAACAUAAAACUGACCUGCUCUGGAAAACUAAGAGCUCUAACUAAUUAAUACUCUAUUACUGGAAUAUAACCUCUUUUUCUAUUUAUAGGGCUGAGGCACAAUUAGCACAUUAAAAACGUGCUCAUUACGCAUGGUGAGAUAUCCCUAAAGCAUCCCUACAUGAAAGGAGUCUGUAGUCUUAUGGAUCUUGUAUUGUAUUUAUCAGAUAGCAGACACACAAACCGCAGGGCACAUUUCACAUUAAAACCAUGACGAAAGUCAAAACUAACUGCAACUGGUUGUAGUGAUGAAGGUUACGAAUUAAACCAUGAUUAACAACAUUUGGGGUGUAACUAGUGUUAACUAUAUGAAUGUUUACACACUGGGUGUGUGCUAACCUUCAAAUAGUCGAGUGUUAACUUUGCAAUAAGUUUUAUUUCAUUUUCUAUCACUCUCUCUCCUCCUGUGGCCCUCAUCCAUAUCCAUUUCUCCCACUGUUAUACUUUAUGGCCCAUUUUAGGCAUGACCUCCUUUCACUUUGCCUCAAGUCAUCUCAAUCUUGGAUCUCCCGUACUUGGCAUGUCGGCUAUGCUGUUUGAAAGCCAGUUUUAGAGUUCUGUAUAAUACUCCAUGCAGUUGUGAUCUGUACUUAUACCUUAGCAGUUACAGUUACAAUUAACGUUAAGUACUGUAUAUCCAGUGUGAAGUACUGUAUAUCCACUCUAUACCUUGGAUACUAUAUAUGCUAUGUCAAUAAUCAAUAAUCAUAUUAAUACACUUGGUUUUAAAAGGUUUUAAAAUUCGCCUGGUCUUAGCACUUUCAUACCUCCCUUUCCACAUCCCUAAUCCAGCCUUUUCUAAUGUGUUGCAUUAAAGUAACAUGGCUUUGCAAUCGUAAAAAGCAAGGAUUACCACCACCACUAUGUUGCUUUUAUGACUCAAAAUAGUACCAAACCAUGGGAGUGGAAGAAAACUUUACCAAUAGCCAUGAUACUGAGAGCAAGGACAAGAGGACAAAUCAAGUCAAGCAACACUGGUAAGGUACCAGAGCCACAACCUGACCUCAAAACCCUCUUCAGGUGACCUUAUAUAUAAACGGACUGAAUUACAUCACUUUCUGUCUGUUGAUUAUUGAUGUGAGCCCAAUCAAGAGAUGCGGUGCUUUCUGAUUUCUUUAAUUGAGCCUCCUCACUUCAUUUCCAUGCUUCCUGUCCUCGCUUCUUAGCUCCUCCCUUAGAGAAAGUGGAGGAAUGAAGGAAGGAAAUGAGGACAGGAGGAAUAGAGAAUAAAUGAGAUGUUCUUGCUCACGGAAUGGUUACUUUAAAGCAACUAUAGCAAAUUCAUUUAUUGAUAUGUUUCUUUUUUCCGUUCUAUUCAGUAACAGUAUAUACAGAGAUUUCGCACUAAAUUAUCCUUAAUUACAAACAUUAUGGCAUGUGUACAUCAUGUUUUAGACUGAACCAGAUGCUUCAUUUAAAAGUGAAAUUACUUGACUUUCAUGCACAUGUUUUCUUUGUAUUAUUUAUGAAUUAAGGUUAUUAUGUAAAUUUUGUAUUUGUGGUUCGUUAUCGGAGUUAGAUUUUUUUUUGGGGGGGGGGGGGUGGUUUGGGGGGUUGGGAGUGGAGCAUUUGUACCAUCAUGCUCUAAAACAAAAAGAACUCACACAUAGAAAACAUCUGUAUAUCCUUGCUCUCUCUUUGAUUCUUCUGAGUGUAUUUUAAGGAGACUUUCACACUGCAGGUUAGUCUGAAUCAGCGCAUGCUUGCAUGAAUUGGUAAUGUGAAAGCUGUAAUGUAAACCCUGAAACACAUUGCAGUACAGAUCCUGAGACUACCUGUAGGAGGUGGUGUGAGUUUGGUUGUGCUGGAACUGUGCCAUUGUUCCUAUUAUAGUGAACACAGCUCGUACACCUGUUCAGGGAGUUUUGGCUGAUGAUGAUAAUUAGUUUCCAUAAUACACUUGUACUCUGAGUGGCUGGGGAACAUUGUGGCACACAAUAGCAUAAAAAUAAAACAUAUAAAUAAAAGAAAAAGUCAUAUUGUGUCCUCUAUGUGCAUUUGUGAUGAUGUAAGAUGAAAUGCACCAGGGUUCACUAGAAUCUCACCAACGAUGUGAAACCAAACCAAUGAUGUUGGAGCACUAAGUUUCGGACCGCAGCAGUGUGAAAACCACCUGAAGAAUUGUUACAUCCUUAAAGAUGGCAGCCAUUGAUUGAUUUCCAGCACAUGAGCUGAAGGAAGAAGGAUCAAGGAAUCAAAGAGACAGUCAAUUAGAGUUUUGGGAAGUGCCCAGAAAAACUGUAGCUGCCUCCUACAAUGCAAAAGUUUUGACAGAAUGAUUGGAUAUGAGUAAUAUUAAGAAACCCAUGUCAGUCUUUUUGGGGUGUAGAUUGAAUGUGGAUGUGAAGUCACAGAUUUUAUAUUGAAGUAGGGCCAUGGGGAGGGGCAUACAGAUGCUUUGGAUUGGGACUACCCUCUGUAGGACUUAUGUAGUUGCUAACCACAUUUUUCCAUGUUACCUAGAGAGGGAAUAUGAAAAUGGUUGUGACAUCACACUGUGUUUUAGCACCGCAGGUCCUGUUUUGUUUUAGGCAUUUCUUUAUGACAUACUGUAUGUAAAUCCUGUGCGGCGGAGAAAGCGCAUUCAAACAUUCCUGAUGUGUUGCUUUGAAUUAUACACAAUUAAAAUUUGCUGCAGAUUGCUUAAGAAAA